CCAAUCCCAGCCAACACAGGGCACAAGGCAGGGAACCAAUCCUGGGCAGGGUGCCAAUGACACAAUAUGGUUGAGAAUAAUAAGUGGACAAACAUUGUGUAUCUCAUUCUGGAACUAAAUUAUUACCCGAGAAGACGAAUCUUGCACAUUGUUUUUGGGUGGUAAACCACAUCAAGAAUCAAAUGAGUGAGAAUCAUGCGCCUCGUUCUUAAAUGAGGAUUCAGUUCAAUGAUGAAGUAAACAAGAAUCAUGCACAUCAUUCUCAGGUGGUGAUUUACUUCAAGAAUUAAAGGAACAAGAAUUGUGCGCCACACACACGAGCAACAGCUCGGUCUCAGAAUCACGUGA